UGGGGAAUAUUGCACAAUGGACGAAAGUCUGAUGCAGCAACGCCGCGUGGAGGAUGACACAUUUCGGUGCGUAAACUCCUUUUAUGUGAGAAGAUAAUGACGGUAUCACAUGAAUAAGCACCGGCUAACUCCGUGCCAGCAGCCGCGGUAAUACGGAGGGUGCAAGCGUUACUCGGAAUCACUGGGCGUAAAGCGCGCGCAGGCGGCUUUGUAAGUUGGAUGUGAAAUCCUAUGGCUCAACCAUAGAACUGCAUCCAAAACUACUUAGCUAGAGUCUGGGAGGGGAAGAUGGAAUUAGUGGUGUAGGGGUAAAAUCCGUAGAGAUCACUAGGAAUACCAAAAGCGAAGGCGCUCUUCUGGAACAGUACUGACGCUGAGGCGCGAAAGCGUGGGGAGCAAACA
rnacentral:rRNA from 1 species